rnacentral:rRNA from 1 species
UACGUAGGGUGCAAGCGUUAAUCGGAAUUACUGGACGUAAAGCGUGCGCAGGCGGUUUUGUAAGUUUGUCGUGAAAGCCCCGGGCUCAACCUGGGAAUGGCGAUGAAGACUGCAAGGCUUGAAUCUGGCAGAGGGGGGUAGAAUUCCACGUGUAGCAGUGAAAUGCGUAGAGAUGUGGAGGAACACCGAUGGCGAAGGCAGCCCCCUGGGUCAAGAUUGACGCUCAUGCACGAAAGCGUGGGAGCAAACAGG